rnacentral:rRNA from 1 species
GACGUAGGGCGCGAGCGUUGUCCGGAUUUAUUUGGGCGUAAAGAGCUCGUAGGCGGCUUGUCGCGUCGUCUGUGAAAUCCCGCGGCUCAACCGCGGGUCUGCAGUCGAUACGGGCAGGCUAGAGUUCGGUAGGGGAGACUGGAAUUCCUGGUGUAGCGGUGAAAUGCGCAGAUAUCAGGAGGAACACCGGUGGCGAAGGCGGCUCACUGGCCCGGUACUGACGCUGAGGUGCGAAAGCGUGGGGAGCAAACAGG